rnacentral:rRNA from 1 species
GACUACAUGAAGCCGGAAUCGCUAGUAAUCGCGGAUCAGAAUGCCGCGGUGAAUACGUUCCCGGGUCUUGUACACACCGCCCGUCACACCAUGGGAGUCGGAAAUGCCCGAAGCCGGUGACCCAACCCGAAAGGGAGGGAGCCGUCGGAGGCAGGUCGGAUGACUGGGGUGAAGUCGUAACAAGGUACC